rnacentral:rRNA from 1 species
UACGGAGGGUGCGAGCGUUAUCCGGAUUUAUUGGGUUUAAAGGGUGCGUAGGCUGGUCCUUAAGUCAGUGGUGAAAGUUUGCGGCUCAACCGUAAAAUUGCCAUUGAAACUGGGGACCUUGGGUGGCGUUGCAGCCGGCGGAACGUGUCGUGUAGCGGUGAAAUGCAUAGAUACGACACAGAACCCCGAUUGCGUAGGCAGCUGGCUAAGCGCCUACCGACGCUGAUGCACGAAAGCGCGGGUAGCGAACAGG